CGUUUUAGACGUUUGGAGUUUCAUCUUCAUGGUGCAUUAAGUUUUGGGCUUUUGGCCUUCUGGAUUCUUUCAAAUAAGUGUUUUCAUCUUUAGAUGAGAGGUAGCCGUGAUUUAUAUCAAUCUCCCACACAUACACACCUUGAAAUUCAGAUGGUGAGUGAAGGCAAGAUUUUUCCCAUUCUUGGGUUUCUGAAUCCCCGGGUUCAUCACGUUCAUAGCAUCUUUUCUGAACCAAGAAGAGGAUGAUUACGAGGAAGCUGAAAAAGCCCCAAUUUCAUGCCUUAUUGAGGUUCUUCCUACAACCAGUCCUGAAUGAUAAGGGAUUUCAUGGAUGGAUUUGUAGGAUUGCUAAGGUUUUCACGAGGAAGUCUGUGUAAUCAAGGUGAACAAUCAUUCUAUGUAAAUGGAGAAGUGAUCAGUGUCAUGUGGCUUCAUGGUGAUCCUGAUAUAAGCAAAAGUUGCAUCACGAACAUGUUUGUUGAGGUAUCUACUACACUGCUUUGAUUUGAACUUUUGGUCAUUAUUGUUUCUGGAAGAGAAUAAAAGAAAUAUUUAAAAAAAUGUGGGAAUAUUUUGUCCCAUGAAGCUGCCCUGUCUGAUGAUGGAAGAGCAAAGGAUACAACUUUGUUCAAUUUGAAUGAAAGGAAUGCACAAAUGAUGUAGUGGGCUCUCCACCUUUUGGUUUUUUAUUCUGUUGGUUGAAUAGUUGUCUUUCUCAUUCAUUAAUUACUAUGAAAAUCAAUACAUGAAGACAAGUAACAACUUUGAGAGGGUACUACACUUUUUCUAAAUCCUUUCUUACCUUGGAAUUCUUAUUUAAUAAGAAACGGAAGCUUCACAAUCCCAAAUUCAUUAUUAU